AUUGAACGCUGGCGGCAGGCUUAACACAUGCUAGUCGAGCGGGGGAAGGUAGCUUGCUACCGGACCUAGCGGCGGACGGGUGAGUAAUGCUUAGGAAUCUGCCUCUUAGUGGGGGACAACAUCUCGAAAGGGAUGCUAAUACCGCAUACGUCCUACGGGAGAAAGCAGGGGAUCUUCGGACCUUGCGCUAAUAGAUGAGCCUAAUUCGGAUUCGCUAGUUGGUGGGGUAAAGGCCUACCAAGGCGACGAUCUGUAGCGGGUCUGAGAGGAGGAUCGGCCGCACUGGGAGUGAGACACGGCCCAGACGCCUAGGGGAGGCAGGAGUGGGGAAUAUUGGACAAUGGGGGGAACCCUGAUCCAGCCAUGCCGCGUGUGUGAAGAAGGCCUUAUGGUUGUAAAGCACUUUAAGCGAGGAGGAGGCUACUCUAGUUAAUACCUAGGGAUAGUGGACGUUACUCGCAGAAUAAGCACCGGCUAACUCUGUGCCAGCCGCCGUGGUAA
rnacentral:rRNA from 1 species